rnacentral:rRNA from 1 species
GAUUUACAUUUGAGUGAGUGGCGAACUGGUGAGUAACACGUGGGAAACCUGCCCAGAAGCGGGGGAUAACACCUGGAAACAGAUGCUAAUACCGCAUAACAACUUGGACCGCAUGGUCCGAGCUUGAAAGAUGGCUUCGGCUAUCACUUUUGGAUGGUCCCGCGGCGUAUUAGCUAGAUGGUGGGGUAACGGCUCACCAUGGCAAUGAUACGUAGCCGACCUGAGAGGGUAAUCGGCCACAUUGGGACUGAGACACGGCCCAAACUCCUACGGGAGGCAGCAGUAGGGAAUCUUCCACAAUGGACGAAAGUCUGAUGGAGCAACGCCGCGUGAGUGAAGAAGGGUUUCGGCUCGUAAAACUCUGUUGUUAAAGAAGAACAUAUCUGAGAGUAACUGUUCAGGUAUUGACGGUAUUUAACCAGAAAGCCACGGCUAACUACGUGCCAGCAGCCGCGGUAAUACGUAGGUGGCAAGCGUUGUCCGGAUUUAUUGGGCGUAAAGCGAGCGCAGGCGGUUUUUUAAGUCUGAUGUGAAAGCCUUCGGCUCAACCGAAGAAGUGCAUCGGAAACUGGGAAACUUGAGUGCAGAAGAGGACAGUGGAACUCCAUGUGUAGCGGUGAAAUGCGUAGAUAUAUGGAAGAACACCAGUGGCGAAGGCGGCUGUCUGGUCUGUAACUGACGCUGAGGCUCGAAAGUAUGGGUAGCAAACAGGAUUAGAUACCCUGGUAGUCCAUACCGUAAACGAUGAAUGCUAAGUGUUGGAGGGUUUCCGCCCUUCAGUGCUGCAGCUAACGCAUUAAGCAUUCCGCCUGGGGAGUACGGCCGCAAGGCUGAAACUCAAAGGAAUUGACGGGGGCCCGCACAAGCGGUGGAGCAUGUGGUUUAAUUCGAAGCUACGCGAAGAACCUUACCAGGUCUUGACAUACUAUGCAAAUCUAAGAGAUUAGACGUUCCCUUCGGGGACAUGGAUACAGGUGGUGCAUGGUUGUCGUCAGCUCGUGUCGUGAGAUGUUGGGUUAAGUCCCGCAACGAGCGCAACCCUUAUUAUCAGUUGCCAGCAUUAAGUUGGGCACUCUGGUGAGACUGCCGGUGACAAACCGGAGGAAGGUGGGGAUGACGUCAAAUCAUCAUGCCCCUUAUGACCUGGGCUACACACGUGCUACAAUGGAUGGUACAACGAGUUGCGAACUCGCGAGAGUAAGCUAAUCUCUUAAAGCCAUUCUCAGUUCGGAUUGUAGGCUGCAACUCGCCUACAUGAAGUCGGAAUCGCUAGUAAUCGCGGAUCAGCAUGCCGCGGUGAAUACGUUCCCGGGCCUUGUACACACCGCCCGUCACACCAUGAGAGUUUG